AGGACGAACGCUGGCGGCGUGCUUAACACAUGCAAGUCGAGCGGAAAGGCCCUUCGGGGUACUCGAGCGGCGAACGGGUGAGUAACACGUGAGUAAUCUGCCCCUAGCUCUGGGAUAGCUCCGGGAAACCGGGAUUAAUACCAGAUACGACCACUUUAGACAUCUGUUGUGGUGGAAAGAAUUUUGGCUAGGGAUGAGCUCGCGGCCUAUCAGCUUGUUGGUGAGGUAACGGCUCACCAAGGCGACGACGGGUAGCCGGCCUGAGAGGGCGACCGGCCACACUGGGACUGAGACACGGCCCAGACUCCUACGGGAGGCAGCAGUGGGGAAUAUUGCGCAAUGGGCGAAAGCCUGACGCAGCGACGCCGCGUGGGGGAUGAAGGCCUUCGGGUUGUAAACCCUUUCAGCAGGGACGAAGCGAAAGUGACGGUACCUGCAGAAGAAGCGCCGGCUAACUACGCGCCAGCAGCCGC
rnacentral:rRNA from 1 species